AAUAUUGGACAAUGGGCGCAAGCCUGAUCCAGCGACGCCGCGUGAGUGAUGAAGGCCUUCGGGUUGUAAAGCUCUGUUGAGGGAGAAGAAAACGGGUGGCGCGAAUAGCUCCAUCCCUUGACGGUAUCCCUUUAGAAAGCACCGGCUAACUCUGUGCCAGCAGCCGCGGUAAGACGGAGGGGGCAAGCGUUGUCCGGAAUCACUGGGCGUAAAGCGCACGUAGGUCGUCGUGUGCGUCGAUGCUGAAAGCGCCGGGCUUAACCCGGCGAGGUGCAGCGAUACGACACGACUGGAGGCAGGGAGAGGGUGGCGGAAUUCCGGGUGUAGUGGUGAAAUGCGUAGAGAUCCGGAGGAACGCCAGUGACGAAGGUGGCCACCUGGCCUUGACCUGACACUGAGGUGCGACAGCGUGGGGAGCGAAC
rnacentral:rRNA from 1 species